UUAGGAAUUUUGCACAAUGGGCGAAAGCCUGAUGCAGCAACGCCGCGUGGGCGAAGAAGGUCUUCGGAUCGUAAAGCCCUUUUCUGAGGGAAGAGAACGGACGGUACCUCAGGAAUAAGCCUCGGCUAACUACGUGCCAGCAGCCGCGGUAAUACGUAGGAGGCGAGCGUUGUCCGGAUUUAUUGGGCGUAAAGAGCGCGUAGGCGGCUUGGCAAGUUGGGUGUGAAAUCCCCUGGCUUAACUGGGGGUAGUCAUCCGAUACUGCUAGGCUUGAGGUCGGUAGAGGAAGGUAGAAUUCCCGGUGUAGUGGUGAAAUGCGUAGAUAUCGGGAGGAAUACCAGUGGCGAAGGCGGCCUUCUGGGCCGAUCCUGACGCUAAGGCGCGAAAGCGUGGGGAGCGA
rnacentral:rRNA from 1 species